rnacentral:rRNA from 1 species
UACGUAGGGGGCGAGCGUUGUCCGGAUUUAUUGGGCGUAAAGAGCUCGUAGGUGGUUUGGUAAGUCGGAUGUGAAAUCUCCAGGCUCAACCUGGAGGGGUCAUUCGAUACUGCCAUGACUAGAGUUCGGUAGGGGAGUGUGGAAUUCCUGGUGGAGCGGUGAAAUGCGCAGAUAUCAGGAGGAACACCAAUAGCGAAGGCAGCUCGCUGGGACGUUACUGACACUGAGGCGCGAAAGCGUGGGGAGCGAACAGG